CGAGUCAUGUCCUUUGAAGAAAAAGGACAAUGACUAAACAGUCAACAAGGUCCUUUGUUUGGUAACCUGUUGGCUACUACCCUUGAAUAUCCCUUUUUACUUCCUGAAACAGGCCCUCUUGAUUUGAGGGUAACUCCUUCGCUACUUAUUGUGGACUUCAUCCUUGGUGAAAACUGAUAAGAGAAAGCUGAAAUUCAAGACUGAUAGUUGUUUGAUGUCUAAGCCGGAAGCCUACUAUGGUUAAUCGCUGUCGUAAUAACUGUUCCUCAACUUUUCUCUUCGCUCUUUUUCCGGUUUCUCUUAACCAUUGGUCAUGUCUUAACUGUUGUCCCUGGCUGCAGUCAACUAAGGCAGUAACUCCCUCUGUCUUGAUUGACUGCAUGUGCAAGUUUCAAAAGCAGUUUAUCACCCAAAUGAAACAAAAAGGAGUUUGUUAAGUUUGUUUUAUUUGGGUAUAAAUUGCUUUAAAAUUUGCACAGAACAACAAUAGUUCAUUCGUUUCAUGAAAUUAGUUGUAUUUUUAUUGCUUUCGACAUUCAUUCUGAAACAAUAUCAAAUAUAAGUUUUCAACGUA